rnacentral:rRNA from 1 species
UACGUAGGGUGCGAGCGUUGUCCGGAAUUAUUGGGCGUAAAGAGCUUGUAGGCGGUUUGUCGCGUCUGCUGUGAAAAUCUGGGGCUCAACCCCGGACUUGCAGUGGGUACGGGCAGGCUAGAGUGUGGUAGGGGAGACUGGAAUUCCUGGUGUAGCGGUGAAAUGCGCAGAUAUCAGGAGGAACACCGAUGGCGAAGGCAGGUCUCUGGGCCACUACUGACGCUGAGAAGCGAAAGCAUGGGGAGCGAACAGG